GAUGAAGAACGCAGCGAAAUGCGAUAAGUAAUGUGAAUUGCAGAAUUCAGUGAAUCAUCGAAUCUUUGAACGCACAUUGCGCCCCCUGGUAUUCCAGGGGGCAUGCCUGUUCGAGCGUCAUUUCACCACUCAAGCCUCGCUUGGUAUUGGGCAACGCGGUCCGCCGCGUGCCUCAAAUCGACCGGCUGGGUCUUCUGUCCCCUAAGCGUUGUGGAAACUAUUCGCUAAAGGGUGUUCGGGAGGCUACGCCGUAAAACAACCCCAUUUCUAAGGUUGACCUCGGAUCAGGUAGGGAUACCCGCUGAACUUAAGCAUAUCAAUAAGCGGAGGA
rnacentral:misc_RNA from 1 species